AUAUGGUGGCUGGAGGGAUCCACCCACGCAGGAAAGAAAAAGGAGGUGUUACCACACCUAAUGGCUGCUGCAGAGAGAUGACAGUCAUGGUGAGACUGUGCAGUAAAGGGCUGUCUGAUACCUGUGUAUCCAGUCGAAGUGGGAUUGUGUGUACUACCCUGGUGAAACAGAGCCCAGGUGGAAGUGGUACAAUCAGAGUGAAGAAGGCUAGGUGGUCAGGAUUCUACCUGCAAGGAAGCAGGACUGAGCUACGUGGUGCUGAUAAAAACCAGGCCGGACAGCUUGCAUGUGAGUAGGCCGGAGAGCCUGAAUGUCAGUAGCCCGGAGCCUGUGUUACUCUGCAGGAGCAGGGCUGAGACUUUUUGUGAUAAGCCAGAGGACAGGCCAAGCCAGGCCAGGCCAGGACAGGCUAACUAUAUAUGAAUGACUUUGAGAGACUUUAUGUUUGCAUAUUAGCUGCCCAAGGCAAGAGGCGAAGAACAGUAAGAAGCUAUAAUCUCCGUCGAUCGCUGGAAAAAAAGAAAACUAAGAGCAGCCAUGGAGGAGGCAGACAGUUUGUGAGGUGACAUCACCACCCAAGGGAGACAGAAGCUAAGUGACUCUCGCCAGAGUGUGCCUAGGGCUGCCUACAAAUACAGAUCUUAUAAUAAUAUCACAUGGUAGCUAAAGUCAAUGAGACAAUCCUACGUAUAAAUACUGUUUUCAUAAGUCCAUAUUGAUUGCAAAGUUAUGCUAGCUAUGAACAAAAUGAAUAGCUAUUUAUAUUUAAUAUUUUAUAAAAAUAUUCUUCUACAGGAAA